AGACCCGAAACCCGGUGAUCUAGCCAUGGGCAGGUUGAAGGUUGGGUAACACUAACUGGAGGACCGAACCGACUAAUGUUGAAAAAUUAGCGGAUGACCUGUGGCUGGGGGUGAAAGGCCAAUCAAACCGGGAGAUAGCUGGUUCUCCCCGAAAGCUAUUUAGGUAGCGCCUCGUGAAUUCAUCUCCGGGGGUAGAGCACUGUUUCGGCUAGGGGGCCAUCCCGGCUUACCAACCCGAUGCAAACUGCGAAUACCGGAGAAUGUUAUCACGGGAGACACACGGCGGGUGCUAACGUCCGUCGUGAAGAGGGAAACAACCCAGACCGCCAGCUAAGGUCCCAAAGUCAUGGUUAAGUGGGAAACGAUGUGGGAAGGCCCAGACAGCCAGGAUGUUGGCUUAGAAGCAGCCAUCAUUUAAAGAAAGCGUAAUAGCUCACUGGUCGAGUCGGCCUGCGCGGAAGAUGUAACGGGGCUAAACCAUGCACCGAAGCUGCGGCAGCGACGCUUAUGCGUUGUUGGGUAGGGGAGCGUUCUGUAAGCCUGUGAAGGUGUGUCGUGAGGCAUGCUGGAGGUAUCAGAAGUGCGAAUGCUGACAUAAGUAACGAUAAAGCGGGUGAAAAGCCCGCUCGCCGGAAGACCAAGGGUUCCUGUCCAACGUUAAUCGGGGCAGGGUGAGUCGACCCCUAAGGCGAGGCCGAAAGGCGUAGUCGAUGGGAAACGGGUUAAUAUUCCCGUACUUGGUGUUACUGCGAAGGGGGGACGGAGAAGGCUAUGUUGGCCGGGCGACGGUUGUCCCGGUUUAAGCGUGUAGGUGUGUGUUCCAGGUAAAUCCGGUUCACUUUAACACUGAGGCGUGAUGACGAGGCACUACGGUGCUGAAGUAACAAAUGCCCUGCUUCCAGGAAAAGCCUCUAAGCAUCAGGUAACAUCAAAUCGUACCCCAAACCGACACAGGUGGUCAGGUAGAGAAUACCAAGGCGCUUGAGAGAACUCGGGUGAAGGAACUAGGCAAAAUGGUGCCGUAACUUCGGGAGAAGGCACGCUGACACGUAGGUGAAGUGAUUUACUCACGGAGCUGAAGUCAGUCGAAGAUACCAGCUGGCUGCAACUGUUUAUUAAAAACACAGCACUGUGCAAACACGAAAGUGGACGUAUACGGUGUGACGCCUGCCCGGUGCCGGAAGGUUAAUUGAUGGGGUCAGCGCAAGCGAAGCUCCUGAUCGAAGCCCCGGUAAACGGCGGCCGUAACUAUAACGGUCCUAAGGUAGCGAAAUUCCUUGUCGGGUAAGUUCCGACCUGCACGAAUGGCGUAAUGAUGGCCAGGCUGUCUCCACCCGAGACUCAGUGAAAUUGAACUCGCUGUGAAGAUGCAGUGUACCCGCGGCAAGACGGAAAGACCCCGUGAACCUUUACUAUAGCUUGACACUGAACAUUGAGCCUUGAUGUGUAG
rnacentral:rRNA from 2 species